rnacentral:rRNA from 1 species
CCAGUAGUCAUAUGCUUGUCUCAAAGAUUAAGCCAUGCAUGUCUAAGUUCACACCCUCGUACGGUGAAACCGCGAAUGGCUCAUUAAAUCAGUCGAGGUUCCUUAGAUGAUCCAUUUCUACUUGGAUAACUGUGGUAAUUCUAGAGCUAAUACAUGCCCAACAGCUCCGACCCCGGGCUUCGCGGUUCGGGGAAAGAGCGCUUUUAUUAGUUCAAAACCAGUCGGGGGUUUCGGCCCUCGUGCUUUGGUGACUCUGGAUAACUUUGAGCCGAUCGCAUGGCCUCGAGCCGGCGACGCAUCUUUCAAAUGUCUGCCCUAUCAAAUGACGACGGUACGUGAUCUGCCUACCGUGUUGACUACGGGUAGCGGGGAAUCAGGGUUCGAUUCCGGAGA